rnacentral:lncRNA from 1 species
UUGAUAGUCUAAAAGGAUGAUUGUGCCUAUUAUAUUUCAUCUAUCUGUUCUCUCACCAGGCUCAUCUUCCAGACUGAACCUUACUUUUGAUGAUUGCUACCUGCAGAAUUUUGACCAACUCAUUUAACUUUCUGGAUCCUAAAUCUUGGUCUCUUUCCUCAUCUGUAAAAUUGGAGACAAGACAUGGCCAAGGUCACAGUCCUGGGUCUUGAUCCCAGUGUAAGAAGGAACACUAGCACACACCAGUGCCUGGGAGGAUGGGACCCUGAUCAUAGUUCCAAGGAAGAAAAGAGUGGAUGCUCAUAGACCAAAAGCAGACCAAGAGAAUAUUAAACAUAUGUCCCCUUGCAUCAUACCAUAUUGAAACAAUCUUAUAGAUCCCCAGAGGAAAUUAUGCCUUAAAAUAAUAAUUGGACAAAUGGAAGCUAAUGACUCCAUGAGACAUCAAGAAACAAUCAAUCAGAGUCAAAAGAAUGAAAAAAAAAAUACAUGAAAGUACAAAAUACGUAAUUGACAAAACAAAUGACAUGGAAAAUAAGUCAGGAGAGAGAAUGUAAGAAUUGUUGGACUACCUUGGAAACCAUUUUCAAAAAAAAUGACUAGACAUCAUCUUUCAAGAAAUUAUCAAGGAAAACUUCCUUGACAUUCUAG